AAGCUGAUUAUGGUAUGGAACCCUGG
rnacentral:misc_RNA from 1 species